rnacentral:rRNA from 1 species
GACGAACGCUGGCGGCGUGCCUAAUACAUGCAAGUCGAACGCAGUGGGGACGGGUGAGUAACACCUGGGUAACCUCCCAUCAGAGGGGAUAACAACUGGAAACAGGUGCUAAACCGAUACUGAUUGAUGGACCCGCGGUGCAUUAGCUAGUUGGUGCGGUAACGGCUCACCAAGGCCACGAUGCAUAGCCGACCUGAGAGGGGGAUCGGCAACACGGGGACUGAGACACGGCCCAGACUCCUACGGUAGGCAGCAGUAGGGAAUCUUCGGCAAUGGGCGAAAGUCUGACCGAGCAACGCCGCGUGAGUGAAGAAGGUUUACGGAUCGUAAAGCUCUGUUGUUAGAGAAGCGGUAUCUAACCAGAAAGCCACGGCUAACUACGUGCCAGCAGCCGCGGUAAUUC